UGACCAAGACCUGGCCAGUGCCUCCGGGGCU
rnacentral:sRNA from 1 species